UGGAGUUUCUCUCUUGUUGCCCAGGCUGGAGUGCAUGUUGCUGUGCACUUUGAGGGCAGGAACUGGCUCCUGCUCCAGUUUGCAUCCUCUGCGCCCAGCACCAGGCCCAUCUGCUCAAUGCAGGAUAAGCAGGUAGCUUCAGGCUGUCCACCCAACCCUUGCAGAGGGUGGAGCUACAGAGAGCAUGAGUGGCCAAGAUGAAGCCCUCAUUGGAUUCUUUGACUCUUUCUACUAUGUGAGAUAUUCUUGAUGUCUGAGGGAUGAACGGCAAACAAAGUGUGGCCUACCCAUACAAUGGGGACAGUAGUUAGCCCUAAGAAGGAAGGAAGUUCUGACGCACGCUACAACACAGGUGGGCCUUGAGAACGUCACGCUAAGUGAAAGAAGGCAGUUGGAAAAAGACAAAUGAUUGUAUGAUUUCACUCACAUGUGGCACCUGGAGUCGUCAAAUUCAGAGACAGAAAGUAGAAUGGUGGCUGCCAGGGGCUGGGGGAGGCGGAAAGGGGAGUUAGUGGACACAGAGUUUCAGAUUGCAAGAUGAAGAAAGUUCUGGAGAUGGAUGGUGGUGAUGGUGGCACAACACUGUGAGUGUAUUUAAUGCCACAGAAUCAUCCACUUAGAAGUAUUUCAGAUGGUAAAUUUCAUCUUUUGUGUAUUUACCACAAUUUUUAAAAACUAAGAAAAUUAAGAUAUCCUUGAUGUCAGAUGCCAGGAGAGCGGUGUCAGGCAUCUCACCAGCCGAUUCUCCCAGAAUUUUUCCUCCAUCGGGUAACCACGAGCCUGGGGUAUCCCAAAGAGAAGCCUCAGUGUAAAAUCAACAAUCUCAGUGGAGUGGCUUCAUCAGGGAGUGACAGGGGCGUGACUUACUACUGGAGGACAAGGCAGCAGGCAGGGAAGAUGGCCCAAGCCUGCUCUGAACUGUAAGGAGCACGCAGAACCUCUUAUCCAGACCCAGAGGGCUGCCCUGUUGAUAGCACAAACAGCUCAGGGCCAGCAGCGCAGGAAAACCCCAGGGUCCAGCCAGGUCACGGGCACAGGCCUGCACUCACGGGUCAUUGCAGUGAGGAUGGAGGUAUCACUGCAAAUGCGUAAGAGGAUAUUUUCAGCAAUAGUAAAAUUUUUAACAGAUUUUAGAAAUGAAAGGGUUCCCCCUGCAUAUGUCAAGAACCUGAGUUUCUUUCUGAAACUUGGGUGGGACCCUUUAGAGUUGCUUCAAAUAGAAAACACACCAUUGGCGGCCACUCCCCUGAGGAAAGGCAGACUUCAUGGCUGAAGGCGUCACCCGAGUGCUCCCGGUUUUCAGCAUCACACGGAGUGGCUCAGGUGCCCAUUCAUUUUAUGAGUCAGCCUGGGGAGAGUACCCACAGAUUCGGAGUCACAUCUCUGAUGGGACACAAGCUCUACCCUUUCCAAGCAUUGAUGAUCCUGAGGUUGAUCAAUACUGAGCACUGAUGUCUGUGAAAACAAAUCACUUAGGUGCAGAGACACCGCAAUGACCAUCCCGCCGGGGGCAACUGCCUGAUUCCUUCCACAUCCUGGUCAACAUCCCUGGCCAACAGGGCAGCCCACGGACAGCUGCUCUGCCUGGCUCCUGCUGAAAAGCCAACAGCACAACAACUCUGCCCUCCAUACAAAACCACAUGGGCCCUCGAGAUCACACUGGGGCGCCCCAUUUGCCCCCACUUCCUUGGGCUGUGGCUGGUCUGUCUGACAUUUGCUCUGGGAGAUGAGCCAGUGUCUGCCCAGGCCACCACGGGGGCAGAGACGUGAAACAGGCUUCAGCUACUAAUUUUCCAUUAAACGAGAAGAAAAUCAGCUAUUGUGAGAAGAGUCACAUGAAGGUACCUAAAAGUUGUCACAGUCCACUCACUCCAAAUAAAACCCAUCCCAUUAGGAAUAUUGUCAUUGCAGCCCAUCUCCAGCACUCUGCUCUAUAUAAAAGACUGACUGUGGCAAGAUAAGGGUUUAAAAUUGAAAUCAAAGAGCCAUUCCUCAGUGAUACCCAGGAAAUGAGGCACACGGGCAGAUAUUCAACCCGCCCACACCAAGAAUCCUAAAAGUUACCGUACAGAUUGCUCGUUUUCAAGCAACACACAAUGAUACAAGUAAGUCCUCAAGAAGACUGCAUGGGUGGAGGCACUGGACUUCUAAUCAUGCCAUCUCUCAGCUCAGGGGUCCACGACAAAGCUAACCCCACUGAGAUGAAAAGCCACUUACCCCUUUUUCAUCACUUGCAAUACAAAUUUCAGAACCCAUCCCAAACUGGAAGGAAGGAUACGACUGAAACUGAACUCAUGCCCAGCUAACCUGGGAAGUACACCCUCCUCAGAUAAUGGAGACCCACCAAUUCCCGGGUGUCAGACGUCACACAACCUCUUCUCCCACCAGGGCUGGGGACCCUCAGGAAAGUCAGGUGUCCCUGAGAAACACCCGGCAACAUGCAGAACCACAGGGACAGGAGGCAAGGUUCCAGACAAAUACACCCAGUAGACAGUUAAAGAUUUCAGAGCUGGAGAGAGCUUAGGACACCCCGAUUCUCAGACUGCAGACAGCAGGUGGACACCACUGAGCUGGCGACAGCCCCAAAAGAGGUCAGCUUGACUGCGACGAGGGGACGUCCUGAUUAUCUGUCCAGUGCUCUGUGACAUCACCCCACCCCGCCUCCUAUAGCAGUGUUCUAACUACAUGAAAUUAACCUCACGUAUAAAACAUAUGCCUGGUUCAUUUGCAAACAGGCAGCUCUGAGCAGCACAUUCAGAAGUUGCCAACUUUGGGAGGCAGAGGAGUUCGAGAUCAGCCUGGGCAACAUGGUGAAACCCCAUCUCUAGGAAAAAUUUAUAAAUCAGCUGGAUAUGGAGGCACGUGCCUGUGAUCCCAGCUACUCUGGAGGCUGAGGCAUUCUACAGGCCUCCCAUGUCCCAGGAGCCAGCUCUGUCCACAGUGCUCUUCCUGCUCCUGCUCCUGGCCAACCCUCCAACCAAGGUGUCUAGGAGCCACAGGGAAGAGCGGGUUCUCUUGCUAGUUGCUCUUCCACUAGGCAGUGACACGCUGGCCGAGCUCCGCCUCCACCGGCUCUGAAGACAGCACAGACAACAGUUCCACCUCUUCCACUUCCACUGAGCAGAGGAACUGCGUCUGAAUGAAGCCAGAAAUGGGGCAUUUGGGGACCACAACAGAGAAUGGAUGCCUAGCAGAUGGGAGGACGACAAACUAACUAACACCCAGGCCUUGGACCCACGCCUCCCGAGGUGAGAUCUCAAACUCCUGGACUUAAGCGAUCCUCCCUCCUCAGCCUCACAAAGUGCUGGGAUUACAGCAUGAACCACCGUGCCCAGCCUUCAAAUCAGAUUUCUAAGGAGCCUAACAAGCAGCAGGCCUUUCCAGUUACAGUGCAUGGAAGUAACAAAGGCAGCCUCAGUCAGCAUCCAGCGCAGUCCUAGCAGACAGGGAUAAUGAAGUGGACGUGGGCCUCACGGGAGGGAAUACUGUCCCCCACCUCCACACCAUGCUAGUGAGAAAAACAGACUGCCUGCAGCUCCAAAACAUACAGCAACUUACCCAUAA